GACGAACGCUGGCGGCGUGCUUAACACAUGCAAGUCGAACGGAAAGGCCUGCUUUCCCUUGUGGAUUGCGGGUACUCGAGUGGCGAACGGGUGAGUAACACGUGAGUGAUCUGCCCCCAACUUGGGUAUAAGCCUGGGAAACUGGGUCUAAUUCCCGAUAGGACUGCAGGGUGGUGCCUGUGGUGGAAAAUGAUUUUCUAGUUGUUGGGGAUGAGCUCGCGGCCUAUCAGCUUGUUGGUGGGGUAAUGUCCUAACAAGGCGGCGGCUGGUAGACGGGCUGGGAGGGCCGCCGGGGAACUUGGGACUGAGAUACGGCCCAGAGUGCUGCGGGAGGCAGCAGUGGGGAAUAGUGCACAAUGGGCGGAAGCCUGAUGCAGCGACGACGCGUGGGGGACGACGGCCUUCGGGUUGCUAACUCCUUUCGACCGCGAGGAAGCCACCUGGUUGGAAGGGUGGUGACGGUAGUGGUAGAAGAAGCACCGGCUAACUACGU
rnacentral:rRNA from 1 species